GGCACAGUGGUCUAAUAGUAUGAUUCCUGCUUUGUAACGUCCUGCUAACAUGUGCAGAGAGCGGGUGGUCUGGGUUCAAGUCCCAGCUGAGCCA